rnacentral:lncRNA from 1 species
CCCGGGCGGCACUGACGCCGGAGUCAUGCAGGAUGAAUCUGCCGGGUUUUGCUGUGGGCUGGCAUGGGGGUGGGAGGCAUCAGCCCAUACAACACGCUGCACGAAGCCGCUUAUUUUCUCACUGUAACAACUUUGGAAACAGAGACCGGCGCGAGCGGCGUCCGCCCCCACCUCCACCUCCGCUGAAGCUGCAGCUUGCUCGGCUGUUUGUUUAACCCGGUGAAGAUUUGCAUGUCGCGUUUCAUCCUGGAGUGGAGUUUUCUUGUCCCAGCUCCAACCCACUCCCAUUCCAGACCACCAGGGCCUAGAGGCUCGUCCGUAGGGCAAGUGCGCUGUUUUAAGAGGCUGGAAGCAUCCUGAAGUCCUCCCUGGACCUUGUCAGUGUGAAAAGAGGCGUCCUCAAGCAGACCAGGGUGGCGAAAGCACCAAGGAAAUUAUGACAGAGAAAGAGAAGGAACAGAGGAGAAGAGAAAGAGAAGGAACAGAGGAGAAGAGAACGAGAAGGCUCGUGUGGCUGUCAAUGAGGUGACUUCUGCCCUGGAAGAAGACACUGGUUCUCGGCUUCCCAUAGAGUCUCCGCGUAGAUUUACUAAUAGAGGGAUUGUUAAGUGGCAGCGAGGCGUUUCCUACUCACCCUGUGCAGCCGAGGAGGAGAAACGCAGAGGUUU